UCUGUAGCUCAGUUGGUAGAGCAGUGGACUGAAAAUCCACGUGUCGUUGGUUCGAUUCCGACCGG
rnacentral:tRNA from 1 species